GGGCGACUCCAGGCUGCCGCUACGCGAGCAGCGUAGGCGUGGGGGACCGUGGGCGCGCGCGGAGGAAGCGACGGAGAUAAGAUGCGGGAGGGCGCGGGGCGGGGAUUCCCGCGGGACUGCUGCACGGGGCAGCGGGGCAGAAGCGGAGACUUGGCCAAGGUCUCUGCGAGUCCGCGGCAGAGGAUGAUCCAAGGUCAUGUCCUCUGGCCUUUCGCCUUGCCUGUGUGGGGAGAAGGUCAGGCUGUGUCCUUCGACGCUAGAACCGCAUCAGUGAACUUCCGCACAGAGAAAUCUGUGUCUGUGUCUCAGGCGGCUCCUGAGACACGGUGAGGAGAAUGGAACGUGUUGUGAUUUGCUGCCUCUUGCCGGAGCCUCCCUGGGAAGGUUGCAGUCAGACUCUGCGCUGGACUGUGUGCCUCUUUCUUAAGGUUGAGAGCACAACGACGAAUGGCGUUCCUCCCUCAGUCCCUCGGAGUCCAGGAUGAAGGGAGGAGCUACGGACUGCAGGUGGCUUCCAGAAGGUGGAAGAGAUGAGAAACAGAUUCUCCUCCAAGCUGCCAGGACGAAUGCAGUCCUGCUGACCCAUGUUGGAACUGGGCCAUCAGAAGUGUAAGGUAAUAGAUGUGUGUGGCUUUAGGCCUCUACAUGUGUGGUAAUUGUCACAACAGCAAUUGGAAAUCAGCAAAUGCAAUCAGCAAAAGUGAAAACACUGGUCUCCAAAAAGGCUUUUACAAAAUGGUCUUUCAAAUAAAUAAAUCU